rnacentral:lncRNA from 1 species
AUUUGACACCAACCCCCUGGUGACUGUUCUUUGAUAUUUACCUUUUCCAGAUUAAUGGAGCUGGAGCCCUUACCCUUGAAUGGAAGUCCCUUCUGAAAGCAGCCCAAAUGACCCUCCAUCAGGAGAGCCAGAGGAGCACAUCGUUUCAGCAGAGUCCACUUUGGCAGUGUGGAGAGUGAGAGACAUGAAACGGAAGAUCUGGAGGAAAGAGUACAGACACUGGUGGAAAAUCCGGCGAGAUAAACUUCAUAUUCCAAGCUGGUUUUAUUUCUGCAGUCUUUUUUCAAGGGCCAGGAAAGAACCCAAUUUCACAGCUGAGCUAGAGCAAACCGAGGAAUCUGGCAAAGGCACAGUCAUUAAAAAGGAAAGGCUGAGAAACUCUCCUCUCCCUAGAGUCGGAAAAAAAAG